CGGAGCCUGGGGACGGGGUGCCGGAGGAGCCCAGGGCAGAGCCGGCUCCCUCCGGCGCCGGGCGACUGCCCGCCCGGGACUCCUCAUACGCCUUCCGAAACAGCAAUAUCCAGAGCAGGAACUAUCCCCCGGCAGGCAGCCAAGCUCUUAUCCGCAAGUGAGGCGAAGCAUCUAAGGUAGCACUAGGAAGGCGAAAGAAGGAGUAGGAGCCGCUCUCUCCGCCUCCGCUAUAUCGGCAACUUGUUCCCUUCACCCAGGUUUGUAAGUGAGUUAAAAGAAAUCCUCCGAAAAUAUCGGGAUCCAGUCUCUGGGAGGAGCCUCCGCGUCCCUUGCAACCAAUAUCCUCCUGCCCAUUUGUGCCUGACAGUUUUGCAAGGGAGGGAAGACCCGAGCUGCGGAGCCCCGUGCGCUCCCCGGUCAGCGGCGGAGCUGCAGGGCUAGCGGCUGUGAACAGACUGCCAGAGCCUCACCGCUGCUCUGCGCGGUGCCUCGGCUGACGGGAGGGUCCAUUUUAUUUUGCAGUAUUUCCUGAUUGACAUCUGUGAUUUCCCCCCGUUCUUGCAAAGGCGGGCGGGUGCGGGGGAAAACCUUGUUGCUUUCACCGCAGUUAUUGGUUAGUUGCCUCUAUUCAGGCUUUAUUCACAAGUGUUCCCAAUCCUCCCUAAAUAACUAGGAAAGAAAAGCCAGCUGUAUUUAUGACAGUCACUGGCAUCUCUUUUCCUUGUUGUAAUUUUAAAUGUUAUUAAUUUAACUUGCAGUCAAGGGCAUAAUAAAUUGAUCUCUUAACAAUGAAA